ACCGGCGCACGGGUGAGUAACACGUAUGGAACCUGCCCGUAGCAGGGGGAUAAGCGGAAGAAAUUCCGUCUAAUACCGCGUAAUAACUCCGAGAGGCAUCUCCUGGGGUUUAAAGGGUAACACCGGCUACGGAUGGCCAUGCGGCGCAUUAGCUAGUUGGCGGGGUAACGGCCCACCAAGGCGACGAUGCGUAGGGGUUCUGAGAGGAAGGUCCCCCACACUGGUACUGAGACACGGACCAGACUCCUACGGGAGGCAGCAGUGAGGAAUAUUGGUCAAUGGGCGCGAGCCUGAACCAGCCAAGUCGCGUGAGGGAAGACGGUCCUAUGGAUUGUAAACCUCUUUUGUCGGGGAGCAAAAGACGCCACGCGUGGCGUUCCGAGAGUACCCGAAGAAAAAGCAUCGGCUAACUCCGUGCCAGCAGCCGCGGUAAUACGGAGGAUGCGAGCGUUAUCCGGAUUUAUUGGGUUUAAAGGGUGCGUAGGCGGAAUAUCAAGUCAGCGGUAAAAAUUCGGGGCUCAACCCCGUCGUGCCGUUGAAACUGAUGUUCUUGAGUGGGCGAGAAGUAUGCGGAAUGCGUGGUGUAGCGGUGAAAUGCAUAGAUAUCACGCAAAACUCCGAUUGCGAAGGCAGCAUACCGGCGCCCAACUGACGCUUAANCACGAAAGCGUGGUNUCGAGCAGGAUNANAUACCUGNUA
rnacentral:rRNA from 1 species